rnacentral:lncRNA from 1 species
UUCAGGUCUCUACCUUGGUGUUGCCAUGCUACUCCUGCAUUCCAAUAUAACAUCCAGCUAAUAAAAACUCACUGCUCUCUGUACAAUAGAGCAGUAACCGGGGAAAGAAGAAAAACUGGAACUUCACUUACCCACUGAAGUGUGUAAAGCCCAGCUCUGAAUUUUUAGUUGCACCGCUCAAUCGCUCAUCAUCAUCCAUCUCAGAGAAUAAGAGCAUGCCCUUAAGCAAUAAAUCAUCUGAUCCGUUUUGAUAUGGAGGUAAGAAGAUUGACAUGGCACCUCCAAAUCAUCUAAAUCGUAAACUUUCGGUCUCUGCUUUCACUCUGUCUGAGUACCUGCAUUGUGUGAGCAGAUCAUUCAAUAA